UCCCCUUCCCUUUUAUGAAUGUGACCUACCGAAUUAGACUAUUUACCGGAUUUGUAAUCACAUAAGCAACAUGACGGGUGCCACAUGUGGAGCAGGAUCUGCUUACCCUUCCGGAGCACCUGAGAUCACCCCUAGUUUUUGGUGGGGUUCGUGUUGUUUAUUCUUUAGUUUUCUAUGUUGUGUCAUGUGUACUAUAGUUUUUCUGUUUGUCUUUUUCAUUUUUAGCCAUGGCGUUGUCAGUUUGUUUUAGAUUUAUGAGUUUGACUGUCCCUUUGGUAUCUUUUGUCCCUCUUUUAAUAAUCUAUAACCACAUUAAUUAAGAAAUAAUUGAUGCCAGCUAUACUUUAUUGUAGUUUUAACAUGGGUAGGCAUUAUAUUCGUAAUUAUUUUUGCCAGAGCGAUAGCGAGGCUAAAAUAACACGAAUAUAAUGCCUACCCAUGUUAAAACUAAAAUAAAUUAUAGCUGGCAUCAAUUAUUUCGAUUCUGAUUAGGACAAUUACGGUAAUUUCUAUGUUCGCUGUGUAUAAGGUGUACAGUAGGCUCUUCUAUCAACCUCCCUGUCGAUUUUAAUCCAACUAGUUUAAACCAGUUGUAUUUCUAAAAAAUUUAAAAUUGAAACAGAAAUUAACAAAUUUAUUAACUUAAACAAUAUUUGUGUCACAAUAUAACAGAAAAGUUAUUAUUCAACGUCUUUUUUCUUUGAGGUCAAUUUCUGACACGCACAUUUUCAAGUCAGUUGUCAAUGGCGGCGGACGCACAAGGAGAAUCGGGUAGGUUCUUUAUUUACUAAAUUAAUUGUAAAUGUUCCGCCGGUUAGUGUAGCUUUGGUAAAUAUGUUCAUAUCUGAUAGAGGAUUCCUUGAAAAAUUUGUGCUGACUUUCGAGACUUGGCAGAAGGGGCCCUUUGACAGAGAUUCAUUUAUACUUGCGGUAGUCCAAAUAAUUACGACGUCUGGCAAGGCUAUUUUAAUUUUUUUUUUCUGGGACGCCUUCCUACAACGGCGUCCCAGAAAAAAAAAUAGCCUUGCCAGACGUCAUAAUUAUUUGGACUAUAGUUGCGGUAGCUACACCCUGUAAAGUUGAUGAAAGGGGACGCCUUUGUGCAUCAAGAGACAUAUGUACAUAUGUCCAUAUAUACAUAUGUCUCUGGUGCAUCUGACGAUUUCAAAUGCUGUAUUACAUGAUGAUUAAAAUUAAUACUGAGUGAAAAUCUUGUUGCAUUUGUAAAAUGGAUUGGAAACCUUGGUG
rnacentral:lncRNA from 1 species